CCAUGGAAGCCAGCUGUACCGGAAGUCAGUGCAUUAACCUGCAAAGGAGAUAGCCGCCUAUGGUAUGACUGGUGACUGGGGUG
rnacentral:rRNA from 1 species